rnacentral:rRNA from 1 species
AGAACGACCAGAGGACCAGUUAA